CCUACGGGGGGCUGCAGUGGGGAAUAUUGGACAAUGGGGGGAACCCUGAUCCAGCCAUGCCGCGUGUGUGAAGAAGGCCCUCGGGUUGUAAAGCACUUUCAGUGAGGAAGAACGCCUGGUGGUUAAUACCCAUCAGGAAAGACAUCACUCACAGAAGAAGCACCGGCUAACUCCGUGCCAGCAGCCGCGGUAAUACGGAGGGUGCGAGCGUUAAUCGGAAUUACUGGGCGUAAAGCGCGCGUAGGUGGCUUGAUAAGCCGGUUGUGAAAGCCCCGGGCUCAACCUGGGAACGGCAUCCGGAACUGUCAAGCUAGAGUGCAGGAGAGGAAGGUAGAAUUCCCGGUGGAGCGGUGAAAUGCGUAGAGAUCGGGAGGAAUACCAGUGGCGAAGGCGGCCUUCUGGACUGACACUGACACUGAGGUGCGAAAGCGUGGGUAGCAAACAGGAUUAGAUACCCGGGUAGUC
rnacentral:rRNA from 1 species